CUAAUAUACCUAAAAGUAACUUGCAAUACUUCUUAAUUAGUCACUUACUUGAAAUUUAAAAUUGAAAAUGGUUAUCAGGUAUUAUAGAUUUGAAAGAUUCUUUGGUUAUGAAUUUGAAAAUUUUUACUUUCUCUGACUAGUAAAAUUCAUUGAUUUUUAUUGAUCAUGAUAAUUAAGGCUAAAAUGAACCCAAUGGGGGCUUAAAUUAAUAUGUUUUAAUGACUGGAACUUUGCUAUAUUGCAUGCAUGCAAAUUGUUUGUCUUAGUUGUUUUUUCUUUUUAAAUGUUGUGCAGGAGUUUCUUGUGAAGAAUGCAG
rnacentral:misc_RNA from 1 species